UAAACGAGUCUCGGCAACGAAUAUCUCGGCUCUCGCAUUGAUGAAGAACAUAGUGAAAUGCGAUACAUGGUGUGAAUUGCAGAAUCCCGUGAUCCAUCGAGUAUUUGAGCGUAAGUUGUGCCUGAAGCCAUUAAGCCUAGGGCACGUCUGCCUGGGCGUCACAC
rnacentral:rRNA from 1 species